CACGUAGGGCGCAAGCGUUGUCCGGAAUUAUUGGGCGUAAAGAGCUCGUAGGCGGUCUGUUACGUCUGCUGUGAAAGCCCGGGGCUUAACCCCGGGUCUGCAUUCGAUACGGGCAGGCUAGAGUUCGGUAGGGGAGAUCGGAAUUCCUGGUGUAGCGGUGAAAUGCGCAGAUAUCAGGAGGAACACCGGUGGCGAAGGCGGAUCUCUGGGCCGAUACUGACGCUGAGGAGCGAAAGCGUGGGGAGCGAACAGG
rnacentral:rRNA from 1 species